AUGCUUUGUCCAAAGCAAGAUUCAAACCGUCACCAUUUGUACCGUACAUUGCCUGUUAACCCUGCCCAGUCUGCCGAAGUCGGAAGAAGACGACGAAAUAGAAGUUUGCGGGGUUACCGUGGUGGGAAGGGGGGCAUUUCUUGGGUGAAAUUCUUUCCCAAGGUUAUUUUGAAAAGGAGUCUCCCCCCACAUACACACACCCGUGUCUGCCCCCUUUUUCUCACAUGGCGCCGUGGACACCCACCGACGUGGAUACCGGCUCAGGACUCAGACCCAGUCAAUGCUAAGAACAGCCUCUCCCCCAAACCCCGGGCGCCCACGGCCUCAGUCUCAAGUGUAGCCGCUGCCCCUGCCCGGGGCCAUGAGCCCCUCCAGGGAGGGAGCGACGACCGAACCAAGUCCUCACGGUGGCCCCGAACCCGCGGCCUCCGCCGUCCCCGGGCGCGCCCCGCCAGGCGGUGGCCCCUCACGCAGCACUUCAGGGACACGGGAAGAAAACGCUGUCCACCGCCGUGCAGCCCCCGACCGGCUCCGGAGGGCGGCGGGGCGCUCGGGGCGCAAGGCGAGGCGCUCUCGCCGCUGCCGAGAAACACGCGCCCAGGGUCUUUUCCCUGGCCGCGAUCACGCGGGUUCCCCGGAGCUUGUCAGCGACUCCUUUCGGGAUCUCGGGCCGCAGAGCCGUGCGACCUCUGGGCCGCGGGGCUCCGGGGCCGAUCCGCCCCCCACUCUCUCCCCGUACAGGAAAGCCCUCGCCUCCCGCGAGCCGCCUUCGCGCGUGCAGUUCCCAAGUCCCAGCUCCCACUCAGCGGGCGCCGGGGCCGAGCGCUCCGCCACCACGCGCCCGGACUUUGCACGAGAGAGGUCGCGGGGAAGGCGAGGCUCGGCGGCCCGCUCCGCUCCCUCCGCGGUCAGCCACCCGCGCUGCCCUGGGGCGAGCUCCCGGAGCCCCUUCGGACCGGCACGGGAGCGCCUCCGCCACCUUUUUCUUUUUUUUGCGAACCGCCAGGACCGUAA
rnacentral:lncRNA from 1 species